CCGCCAAGGGCUGCGGUGGCCGGGGGGGGGCGCCCUCUGGCAGUGGGGAGGUUAAUAUGUAUAAAAGAUGGACCAGGUCAGAGAAUUACUGUGUUCUUAGUAAAGGUAUAUAGAUGUUUCCUGACAGAGAACACAAAGAUCUCAGAGAUAUGGAAUGCUGAAGUAACUGCCACCAGGAAAGUCAUCUUAAGCUAGAGAAGCCUGAGAAAGUGCUUCAUAGGGCCAAGAAUGUAAAGCCCAUAGAACUUUAGGAGGGCUCAUGUUAAAAAAUUGUGACAAAAAGGAAAACUGAGGAGUGCUAAUACCCACAGAAAGCACUUGAGGACCUCGCAGGUGGAAUUUCCCAGUUCCUCAUGGCACUCGUGCAUCAUCCCUUGUGCUCGGCAACUGUUUAUUUCAGGGGAUGGAGGACCAUUCCUUUGGUUCCCAGAUGACCGCCUUCAAGCAACGAUAAUCCCAUAGAGUCUUUCAAAGAACCAGUUCCAGAUGUGCCUUUUGCCAGUUAACCUGGAUUCCAAGGUCUUCCAGAAGAUGCAGUACCGAUGUUAUCAGAGAACACAACUCAUCUUCCUCCUUUACUGUUAUGAGCCAAUCGUCGAGAAAUGGAAAUAUUGUAAUACCUUCUGUUCUCAGAUGUGCUAUGACUGCAGUCAUGCAUUGUUUUUUGAGUGGUUGACAAUCUGAACGGGAUCACAUUGUACGGGAACACUGCAUUUCCUAUGAUAAACCUUAAGAACUUUCUGUGA